UGUUCGCCAAGAGCUUUAUUAAAAACUACAAGAUGCAGUUUUGUUUCUAACCGAAUCCCAAACAACUGCGUUAGGUGGAGAAGAAACAUUUGGUGCAGUCAUCUUUAGAGCAUUUUUGUGUAUAGUCCAUAGCCACUUGUCAGCCAGAGACCAGAUUCAACUUUGCGCUGAGCGUAAUAGGACCUCUUCUCUUUUCUCUGGAGGUUAGGAGAUGAAUUCAAGCUGGUCAAACCUUAGGGCCUCAUUUCAGAGGGUACCUGGCAGUGACUGCGGGGAGUAACCGAUGUGACCUCCAUGGCGCAGUGGAGGGGAUGCUAUCGGCGUGGUCUGAUAAUGCCUCAUUCCUUCCUGACUCUGUGAUCCUGCCUGCUGCUCUGCUCCAAAAGUAAUGCUGUUCUCCGCAAAGCGCCGCCAGCUCCAGGAACAAACUGUGCUGUGCAAGGCCCCGACGGUUUUCCUGUUGAUCCCCUUUUUUUUCUUGGCUUUCAAGGGGAAGGUUUCUGAAGAUGCCGCAAACCCUGCCAGAGUCCUCUUGACAUAACCCGGGGCCGUGGCACAUCCGCGGGAGGUGCAGAGCAGCAGCAGAGAGAAACAGGUGUCAAACACCUGUGUCUGCAAGCACAGCCAGGGAAAGGCUCCAUCAGCUGCCUCCAUCAGCCAGCGCUGGAGAAGACAGGAGAGCAGAUCCCUCACUGGGGGCGAAGGGAGAGGGGGCCCACUGGUGAAGUUGGGUCCUCAUCAGAUUUGGUCAUUUUUUAGCUGUUAUAAAGGGUUUCAAGAGCCUCGUGAGCUCCCCACCCGCAUCCUCUGCCCUUUUUCAUUACAUAUUAGAUGCCCAUCUUAUUUUUCUAAGCACCCUCUCUAAUUACUUGGAAUUUCUGUAACUCCCGUAAUUCGGGAAAGAAUUCUUAAAUUGUACGCAGAUGUGAACUGUCCAGUGAACAUGUAUCAGCAUCUGGGAUCUCCUGUAAAGAUGCAGGAAGAGGCAAGCUUUUGCUGGGCUCAACAGCCAUCGCUUGGCCCCCGUUAAUGAGAAUAUCGAGUUCUCUCCUGCAGCACUGCAGGUUACAGGUGACCUGUCGGUGGGAAUGUAGGAAAAUAUCCAUCCAUACUGAGCCUGUCCCCUGUACAGACGGGAAUAAACAAGAGUUCCCCAAGAGGCAAAUUUUAUCUAUCAAGGGAUCUCCUUGCUGCUUUAUCCUCACAGACUCCACAUCUGGCAGGGAGAGCAAUGGGGCAAGGGAAAUGCAUUGCCUGUCUGCCUAUAUAGCUCAGACAGGCUGGUGACAGCUCGGUGAUGUAAAUGAUGCACAUUAAGCCCUAAAUAAAGUGUGAGGAACAUGCUCGAGAUCAGUAAAUCCAUCCUGACAAAAAGAAGCAGAGGAAUGAAAUCCCUUUUCCCAAACAGACUGGCAAGUUGGUGGACUAAAUGGAACCUCGUCCCACUGAAAAAUGGCUCCUGAAGAUUGAUGGUUGCGGUCUCUCUGCUCUCCCCAGGGGCGACGCAUGCGAGCAUUUACCAGGCAAGGGAGGCUUUGGGCAAGGCGAGGCUGGGGAGCGGGGUCACAUUCCCCUCCUCGAAAUGCUCAGGCUUCGUCAAACCAACUUCAUCCAAGCUCAUUUAUGGCUGAGUUCGUCCCGUUUGCAAUUGUGUUCCCCCAUCAGGCAUUAAUCACCCACAAGGGGUGGCUGCGGCCAAAUGUCCCUGCUGGCUUUCAACAGACUUGGGGGCCUUUCUUCUCCGCAUAAGUGGUGGACUUAAGAUAAGCCCGGGGUCUCUUAAACACGCCUUCCUCCGAGUAAACAGAGCGGGUGUGAUGUGUUACAGGCUGCAUUUCCGAGAAUCAUCCAGCUGAGGAGGAGAAGGGGGCUCUCUUUGUAUUUUGCUGGUGAUGGAAAGUCACCUGUCUGCAAAGGAGGUCGUCAGGCUGGGAAACCUGCCAGCCAGCUCCUCCGUUGUGACGUCUGGAGGCAAUGAUCAAAGGCAAAGAGCAUCGGAUUGGGAUGGGCACAGGGAGCAGCCCACGGCAUGCACGAGCUGCUCCCCAGGUCUGGCAGCGCGCAGCUCUGAAUCUAUUCCCGUGGGAUGAAGACAGCCCGAGGUUUGAUGAAAAACCUGAUGCAAUGCAGCUUGCACUGUUCAUCUCCCAGCAGGUUUCUGUGCCCACUCCCUCUGCUUAACCACCUGCUCCACCAGAUUCCUGUUUUGUAGGAAAGAUCUUCAAAAAACGAUGAGCAUCUGGACAAAGCCUGUGGGUAGCUGCUGCCUGGCAGCCUCAGGGAGAUUCAGCAGCUGUCCUCCCCUGGGUGAAGGCAAGCACUGGCAAUGCGAGGCUGAGCAUCACACCCAAAUCCACCCAUCUUCCAUCCACUGAAAGCCAUCAGAUGCUCCAAGCUGCUCUGGUACCAAAGGGAAAGGCUGAAGACCAUCUGGAUGAGAAAUCAAUAGUUCUGCCAAGGCAGAAAUACCUGCAGGCGAGGCAGGGUGCUGGUGGAGCUUCAUGUGCCCUCGCUGCCAGCCUCAGUGCUGCCACGAGGGGCUGGAGGCUGCGACAAGCAGGGCGCUGGGUGACCAGAAGGGAACGGUCCUUUCUGGACUUGAUUAAAACCUGAGAGUUUUUACCCAGUU